rnacentral:misc_RNA from 1 species
GAAACCAGUCACAUGUUUGCUUUACUCCGCGUUCACCUAUCUGGUUUCAUUCAACAAAAAAGCGGAGCAUACUUCUUCCAAGUCUCCUACAUCAUCUUUCGUAGCGUGUGACAUGAAGAAUAUCUAAGAGCGCAAGACUUCUAGGGAUGGGAUUCGUGCAUCUUCUCCGCACUCGAAGUCCGCUGAGGACAAGGUCCGCCGAGUGGGGUUGUCCAAGAGGUUCUGCCAGAGCGACACGGAAAAGCUCACGAUGGAGGAGGUCUACCAGGGCUGUGUGAGCAUCCUCCAGCUCGAGGAGUUUACAACGCGCCUGCGCAGCAUCGUGAAACGUGCCUUCACUAAGGCAAAGAGCAUGGGCAACACCGCCGGCGUCGGCCAAUGCGACGACGAGUUUGUCGAAUUUCUUGAGUUUCGGCUGAUGCUGUGCUACAUAUACGACUACCUCGAGCUCACCGUCAUGUUUGACGAGAUCGACACCUCCGGCAACAUGCUGGUGGACGCGAGGGAGUUCAAGGCCGCCGUGCCGAAGAUGGGUGAGUGGGGCCUUGUCAUUGAGGAUCCGGACACAAUCUUCAAGGAAAUCGACGACAACGGCUCCGGCCAGGUGCCCUUUGACGAGCUCGCUGCGUGGGCCAGCCGAUCAUCAGCUGGACACUGAGGGCUAUCUGUACAACGGGAAGCAGUAGAUUCCUUUGAAUUCUGCGAACUCAUAACUAUGCACCGCGAUGAGAAGAGCUUGUCUUUUUCAAAUCUUUUCCCCAUAGCUUUCCCCUUUUGCAACCUGAGCGAAACAUCGACUUCUUCUCCUGCUUUUUUUCCCUCUCGCCUCCCCAAUUCAGUACGUAAAAAUCGUAACGUAUUCUCGUGUUACAAGUGGACUUCACGAACGAGCGGAGCUCGCACCUCGUGCUAACCCUCCAAAGAAGUAUUUUUCACUGAGCGACUCUAAUUUUUCUCUGUCCUUGGUGGUCUCUUUUUUUGUCCCUUUUCCUGGGGCCUUUGUGGUGUGCGUCGGUGUGUUGCGACGCAGUUUCAUGGUGACGUUGCUGGGUGACAACUCGAGCGAAAGAUUUAAGAGGUGUGGACAUACUUCCUUUCCUUGGGUGGCCUCGAUCUUUUUCUUUUCCGUGAUCUGCUUGCCACAAUGCGCACGAAAGCUUUUCCUCGAGUCGGGCGAUGCGCGCUGUCACUGCAGAGCGAAUCCGUGAUCUUACAUUCACUUUUCUAGGGAUUAUGUAUACAAACUUUUCACUUUUUUAAAUAUUUUCCUUGUCCGCUUCAUGUGGUUUUAUUCUUUUUUUCUAUUCGCCGCUGAAUACUUGAGCCUCUGCCAAACAGCAAAAAU